UACGAAGGGGGCAAGCGUUGUUCGGAAUUACUGGGCGUAAAGGGCGCGCAGGCGGCCGAUCAAGUCAGAUGUGAAAGCCCCGGGCUCAACCUGGGAAUAGCAUUUGGGACUGGUCGGCUAGAGUUCGGGAGAGGAGAGUGGAAUUCCCAGUGUAGCGGUGAAAUGCGUAGAUAUUGGGAGGAACACCAGUGGCGAAGGCGGCUCACUGGACCGGUACUGACGCUGAUGCGCGAAAGCGUGGGGAGCAAACGGG
rnacentral:rRNA from 1 species